rnacentral:lncRNA from 1 species
AGAAGGAGAAACCUGUGGAAAUGCAGAAAAGCUUGCAGAAUAUAUUUGUUCCAGGGAGUCCUCAGCACUGCCUCUUCUAUUUCCCUGUGGAAACCUCAAAAGAGAAAUCCUGCCAAAAGCGCUCAAGGACAAAGGGAUUGCCAUGGAAAGCAUAACUGUGUAUCAGACAGUUGCACACCCAGGAAUCCAAGGGAACCUGAACAGCUACUAUUCCCAGCAGGGGGUUCCAGCCAGCAUCACAUUUUUUAGUCCCUCUGGCCUCACAUACAGUCUCAAGCACAUUCAGGAGUUAUCUGGUGACAAUAUCGAUCAAAUUAAGAAACACCCUUGAACUGGCUCCAGAGGGACUGAGGAGAGGGUGCAGGAUGUGACCCAGAGCCCAAGGACAGACACUGCCACUCACUGCAGUCAGGAAGAGCAAAAGGCUUCACCUGCCUUCUCACAGGUGCAUCUCAUGUGGGGAGUAUGCACCGCUCUCCCAGUUUUAAAGAUGGAGCACGGGGCUCAGAGACAUCAUAUGGCCUGUCUGUAGGUCACACUGCUGAGAAGGAAGAGCUGCAGUUGAACCUGGGAAGACUGAUUCCACAUUGUCAGCCAUGGUGAUGCCUUGCCAUGGUCUCAGGAGCUGCUGAGCAGUUGAUGCACUUCUGGGCAGUAACUGAUACAAUUCUCACACCAGUCCAGUGGUGGGUAUCCAGAAAAAGAGGUCAGUGUUCCUCAUUACAGGUGAGGACACUGAGGGCUAGAGAGGUGAAACAACUUGCCAAAGUCAUGUUUUGAGUUCCUAGAAGGCCCAGGACUCACACAGGUCACCGAGGAAGAAAAACAAUAUCUGAAUCUUGUGGUUAGAAAGAUUAGAGAGAGGCCGGGCGCUGUGGCUCCCACCUGGAAUCCCAGCACUUUGGGAGGCCUCAGGCGGAUCACCUGAGGUCAGGUGUUCCAGACCAGCCUGUCCAAUAUGAUGAAAACCCCGUCUUUACUAAAAAUAUAAAAAUUAGCUGGGCAUGGUGGCAUGCGCCUAUAAUCCCAGCUACAUGGGAGGCUGAGACAGGA